CCCGGGGCGCAGCAGUAGGGAAUUUUCGUCAAUGGGCGCAAGCCUGAACGAGCAAUGCCGCGUGAACGAGGAAGGUCUUCGGAUCGUAAAGUUCUGUUGAAGGGGAAAAAGAGCGGAGAGAGGAAAUGAACUCCGAUUGAUAUUACCCUUCGAGGAAGUCACGGCUAACUACGUGCCAGCAGCCGCGGUAAUACGUAGGUGGCGAGCGUUAUCCGGCAUGAUUGGGCGUAAAGGGUGCGUAGGCGGCCUGCUAAGUCUGGAGUGAAAGGUACCGGCUCAACCGGUAUAGGCUCCGGAAACUGGCG
rnacentral:rRNA from 1 species